rnacentral:rRNA from 1 species
GGUAGGAGAGCGUUCUGUACGGAGUGAAGUCGUAGCGAAAGCGGCGGUGGACUGUACAGAAGUGAGAAUGCCGGAAUAAGUAGCGAGAAUUAAGUGAGAAUCUUAAUGGCCGAAAGUCUAAGGUUUUUGGAGGAAGGUUCGUCCGCUCCAAGUAAGUCGGGAGCUAAGGUCAGGCCGAAAGGCGUAGCCGAUGCACAAACGGUUGAUAUUCCGUUACCGUCUACAAUUUAAACAAGGGGACACAUACAAAGCGUUUAACCCGGGCGAUGGUUGACCCGGGCGCAAGGGACUGAAAUUAGAGUAGGGAAGUAAAUGUAGCGUAUGGCGAGAAAAGCUUUGUGUAUAGAAGUAGACGCCCGUACCGCAAACCGACACAGGUGGACAGGAAGAGAAUUCUAAGGCCAGCGGGAGAAGGGUAGUUAAGGAACUCGGCAAAUUGACUCCGUAACUUCGGAAUAAGGAGUGCUCGAAAGAGCCGCAGAGAAUAGGCCCAGGCGACUGUUUAGCAAAAACACAGGUCUCUGCCAAAUCGAAAGAUGAAGUAUAGGGGCUGACACCUGCCCGGUGCCGGAAGGUUAAGAGGAGGAGUGCAAGCUCCGAAUUGAAGCCCCGGUAAACGGCGGCCGUAACUAUAACGGUCCUAAGGUAGCGAAAUUCCUUGUCGGGUAAGUUCCGACCCGCACGAAUGGUGUAACGAUCUGGGCACUGUCUCAACUACCCACCCGGCGAAAUUGUAGUACCGGUGAAGAUGCCGGUUACCUGCGGCAAGACGGAAAGACCCCAUGGAGCUUUACUGUAGCCUGAUAUUGGGUUUCGGAAAUCUAUGUACAGGAUAGGCGGGAGACUGGGAAGUAUGAGCGUCAGCUUAUACGGAGUCAUUGUUGGGAUACCGCCCUUAGGUUUCUGGAAUUCUAACCUGCGACCGUGAAUCCGGUCGGGGGACAUUGUCAGGUGGGCAGUUUGACUGGGGCGGUCGCCUCCGAAAAGGUAACGGAGGCGCUCAAAGGUUGGCUCAGCACGGACGGAAACCGUGCCUCAGAGUGUAAACGCAAAAGCCAGCCUAACUGCGAGGAUGACGGUCCGAGCAGUAACGAAAGUUGGAGUUAGUGAUCCGGCGGUAUGUGAAUGGAAAUGCCGUCGCUCAACGGAUAAAAGCUACCCUGGGGAUAACAGGCUGAUCUCCCCCAA